rnacentral:lncRNA from 1 species
UGCUUGUGGAGAAACAUAGCAGAAAUGGUUGUUUUGGAAGGUUAGGUGGGAACUGUUGCCAUUUUGUAUAAGGUGCUCAGGGGAGACCUCAGGAGUGAGGUGUCUCACAGACAAGGGUUCUGAAGGAGCUGAGGAAGUAAACCAUAUGCCACCUGGGAGAAGACAUUCCACACAAAGGGAAAUUUUGAAUGCUUCAUACUAAGGUGGCAAGGCUGGAUACCUCAGCGCCAUAAGGUCACCACAGACUGACACCUUUCUAGAAAUGGUAGCUGUUGGAAAGACCUCAGCACGUGCUCAAGGCAGCAGCCCCUGAUUGGCAGCAACUUCAGUCAGCGCGGAUGUGGCCUUAGACUGUGGCAGCUGGUCUUGUUGGCAAAAGCUCUCCUUGGCAGCGGCUUUCAGCAGAUCCGCUGACAGUUGUGAAACAUGGGCCUCAGAGAGGUGUUCUGAUUGCUCAGUGUUACGUAAC